rnacentral:rRNA from 1 species
AUACGGAGGACGCGAGCGUUAUCCGGAUUCAUUGGGUUUAAAGGGUGCGCAGGCGGCCGUGCAAGUCAGCGGUGAAAGCCCGGGGCUCAACCCCGGAAGUGCCGUUGAUACUGCAUGGCUGGAAUGCGGUCGAGGCGGGCGGAACGUGGCGGGUAGCGGGGAAAAGCGUAGAUAUGCCACAGAACGCCGAUAGCGGAGGCAGCUCGCCAGGCCUGCAUUGACGCUCGGGCACGGAAGCGUGGGGAUCGAACAGGAUUAGAUACCCUGGUAGUCCACGCCGUAAACGAUGGGCGCUCGUCGUCGGCGGCAGACAGUCGGCGGCCAAGCGAAAGCGAUAAGCGCCCCACCUGGGGAGUACGGUCGCAAGACUGAAACUCAAAGGAAUUGGCGGGG